ACAGUUACCAGUAGAGGUUCU
rnacentral:miRNA from 1 species